rnacentral:rRNA from 1 species
GACGAACGCUGGCGGCGUGCUUAACACAUGCAAGUCGAACGGAGUUUCUUGGAUCAAGACUUCGGUCAAGUGAAUUGAAACUUAGUGGCGGACUGGUGAGUAACGCGUGAGGAACCUGCCUUUCAGAGGGGGACAACAGUUGGAAACGACUGCUAAUACCGCAUGAAGCAUUCGGGUCGCAUGGCCUGAAUGCCAAAGAUUUUAUCGCUGAAAGAUGGCCUCGCGUCUGAUUAGCUAGUUGGUGAGGUAACGGCCCACCAAGGCGACGAUCAGUAGCCGGACUGAGAGGUUGACCGGCCACAUUGGGACUGAGAUACGGCCCAG